AUUCAUACAGCUGCAACACACGGCAAAAUCAUGAGCCGGGCGAAAAAACCAAACAGAAUUAAAAUGCAUUACAAACGAUUUGUUAACCGUGAAAUCCGGAGGGUUGUGGCUGCUCUCCGGAAAGAUUAAAUGUUCCGGCAAUUAAGCUUCCGUCGAAUUUUACACUUUUGUGCACAAAAACAAAGUGGAGAAAAAACAGGACAGCAUUCACAUUGUUUGCAUAUUUAAUAAAGCUAAUCAAAAACACGUCGCGCCCUCGCCGGACUCGAAAAACCCCGAUCCCUAUGGCUAUGGCCUUAACCCCGCCCGAAUGCGACGAUUUUAGGGGAGUGAGGCGCUGCAGUGACAGCAUCCUUCACAUAAUUUAUUGGCCAGCACUCAAGGACGCAGAGUUGGGAAAAAAACCUACGAAGUACAAACAAACGGAUAUCGAACAAAACUGUGAAAAACCCAGCGGGAAACCACCGACGGCAGCCAAACUAAUUUGUUGUCAGUUUUAUGCGACAAAAACGAAAACAAUAAGGCAGUAAAAACAAAUUGUUAGAAAGCGAUGCUGCCGAAGGGGAGUGAGGGGAAAGCGCGAGGACGACGAUCCUUGCAGCUGCCAUGAAACUGGUGAAUUAUUGAUUGAAUUAAUAUUUAUCAUAGAACUACUAUUUAUUCCCUAAAAGGGGGAGAAAAUCUGAAAAUUUACAACUUCAUGAAAGAAACU